rnacentral:rRNA from 1 species
ACUCCUACGGGAGGCAGCAGUGGGGAAUUUUGGACAAUGGGCGAAAGCCUGAUCCAGCAAUGCCGCGUGAGUGAAGAAGGCCUUCGGGUUGUAAAGCUCUUUUGUCAGGGAAGAAACGGUGAAAGCUAAUAUCUUUUGCUAAUGACGGUACCUGAAGAAUAAGCACCGGCUAACUACGUGCCAGCAGCCGCGGUAAUACGUAGGGUGCAAGCGUUAAUCGGAAUUACUGGGCGUAAAGCGUGCGCAGGCGGUUUUGUAAGUCUGAUGUGAAAUCCCCGGGCUCAACCUGGGAAUUGCAUUGGAGACUGCAAGGCUAGAAUCUGGCAGAGGGGGGUAGAAUUCCACGUGUAGCAGUGAAAUGCGUAGAUAUGUGGAGGAACACCGAUGGCGAAGGCAGCCCCCUGGGUCAAGAUUGACGCUCAUGCACGAAAGCGUGGGGAGCAAACAGGAUUAGAUACCCCUGUAGUCCCAUGA